CUAAAAAUAAAUUUCAUACGUAACACACUACUUUUAUGAUAGAAAUGUGCACUACUCAAGAUCGUGCAUCCAUGUGCAUUCCAAUUAACAUUGACGUGUUUCUAGAACAUAAACAGAUCUGCGAAGGUUAUUUUUUCAAGUGGUAACACUAUAUGGUUUGUUUUCGGAGAAUAUUCAAGCACCUCCUUAAAUUGUAAACAGUUUGAUUUUAAGAACUACCUUGCAGUCUAAGAGGAAUAUGAAAGGCAAAGAAUUUCAAGUCCUUUGUGUUGUGAUACUUUUGUUGUCCAACUGCCCCCUAGCGGGAGG